AUAGAGCUUUCUGAGUGUACAGGAUUGGAAUGUAACUGAGGACUCAAUCAGGCAGCAUCCUCCUAGUUAUUACUGAAGAAUGAUCUCAAACCGAAUCGCCAGCUAUCUCUUGAGACCUGCCAAUGUGUAAAGAUAUUUUCUACAACCAGGUAGCAUGUUCUCUCACUUGAUGUCUUAGCUCCUGCAAGGCCCCUUUCUGUCUGUAAGGAGCUGAGCGCUCACCUCAGGGCCUCACCCAGCUGCCAACUUGCUUUAUCUCUUAAAAUACUUCCAUAGAGCUAAAAGAGAUAGUUUACAAUGUGGGAUACUUUGAAGGUUUUUGUUUUUAAUUCUGAGAUUUUGAGUAGUUAUAUCUGGCAGCUUUAAGAUCAUACCAAUCUUUAGCUUAUGGACUAGGGACAAUUAGCUAUUUCUCCUUUAGGAUAAUUGCAAUUGUUUUUGCUAAGGAUUACUUCAGAAAAUAUUCUGAAGUUACAUCAAUGUCAAAGUAAUUAAUAGCUAUUAAUAUCUUUGGAAGUAUCAUUGGACAUUUGGUUGCUAGAUUUUUAGAAGCCAUGUGAAACUCAUUCAAAAAAUGUCUAUAUUGCAGCUUGCUAUGAGACAGAAAAUUAUUUUCUUCUUUUUAUUUAUAAUGUGAAGUGAGAAAUUUGAAUCAAUCAUUACACUUGUCUCUCUGAUGAUUAAAAUAAUAUUAUUUAGAAUAUCAUUCAGUAAUGUUUUGAGUAAAGUGGUUUUGGUGGUAUCUUUUAGGCCCCUCCAACUUUAAAAUUUUCUGAACUACCUGUAAGUUUACUGGAAAUACAAUCUGGAUUUAUCUGUGGAAUUGUUCAAUGAAAAUUGACCUGUUUUUUAAAAGGCUACACAUGGUUGGGUACCAAGUGAGUGUUCCUAGAUGCAUCUGUUAGCAGUGGACAGAAACCUUGAAGCUUACACUGUUCCUGCAUUCUUUCCUGCCAGUGCAUGCCGCCUGCCCCAUGCCAUGCUGCCGUGUGUCAUACCUGUGAACAGUCACAGACUAUGAGCAUACCUGUAAGCAACCACUGUGUGGAAGCUCAUGCAGUCACUGCGCCCUUUCCUACAAAUGCACUCCAGCCUGGCUCAGGCCACGGUGCAGAGUAUCACACCUGUGAGCAGCCACACACUGUGUUUUCUGUAUUGUCGGUUGUGUGUUCUGGAAAGCACUACACUGAGAGUGGACAUAGAUCCAGUUUAUUGAGAGGCCGAGCUUAGAAUGUUAUUUUCUAACAGACAGACAUGAUGGUUCCUUAAUUGCUUUCUAAUUAUAAGCUAUUAACCUUCAACAAUUCUGAGCGUCAUUAACAUCUAUGUUAUUGUUUACAUUGAAAUUUCAGCCUACUCAAUAAAACCUUCAGUGUUGUUAUAGACUGCUCAUGAACAGGAAUUUGAUUCUCUUGAAAUGAAUAAUAAAUAGCACAAGAAAAUCAUGUAUUUAACUUAUAACAUGUUUCUCUAAUGUUAUUACUGAUUUUGAAUUAGGUAUCUUGAUUUUUUUCAUAUGGUAUAUGUAUUAAAUAGAUAACGGCCUGGUGUAUAGUAGGCUGUCCAGAACAUGGUAUUGUAGUGUGUGUUCGUAUUGCUCAUGAAUGACUAAAUGAGAUUGUAUAAUAAUAGCAGUGAGGGGAAGAAACUAUCUGCUAACAUAAAGAUAGGCCAAAGAUAUCACCAGGAAAGGACAAAGUGACCCGAGAACUGGGUAGCUCGGUGACUGUUAGUCCCACCUCUGGAAACCUGUUUUAGUUUUAACUUCCUGGUAAAUCCUUUGAGCUUAAAGGAAAAUGGAGUCUUUAAGUAUUUUGGCCUCCUUCCAUGGUAACCAAAAGUAUUUAGUCAGAAAAUACAUGUAUUUUUAAGUUCUGUAAAAGUCAACUUCUUACCCAUUACUCACUUGUUGCUUACUUCCUUACAUUAUGACUUACUUAUGCUAGAAGACACUUUUGUUUUCUAGGCAAGAGCAUGAGAGAGAAUGGAGCACAGGACCGCAGAAUUUCGGGAUUCUAGGAGUCUGUUUUUGAAUCUUAACUGUGUUUAGUUUGCCUUCUGAUUAGGAAUCACCUUGGGUGUGAUUCAUACUGACCUUGUGUAUUCUGUACUUCAUGACCAUCCAGCCAGUCCGUGCCACUGUUAAAGCAGGCUGCAGGUCAGAGCAGAAUUGUGGCCUUUACACAUCAAGCAUGAUUCCUUUACAUCCCAGCAGCAAAAUCUUCUCUCUCUCUCUCUCUCUCUCUCUCUCUCUCUCUCUCUCUCUCUCUCUCUCUUUCCCCAAGAUUCAAAGCUUGCCUGGGAAUUCCUCAAAACAUAAAAAUCUCCAGUUCCAAGACGUUUUUGAAAACUCUUUUAUUACCACAUCAUAUAGACAUAGAAAAUAACAUAUGGGUACUGGGGAGUUGAAACUCAAGUAUUUUAAAGGAAUGUAGCAUAUUAGCUUCUAAAUAUAGCUCAUUGGAAUAACGAAGAAAACACAUAUCUGUGGGCAACUAAAGAAGUAGAAAUUAAGAAAGCAAAACCAUAUAGAAGUAGGAAUAGAAAGCAAGCAGCUGAAAAACGAAUGAAAUUAUACAGG
rnacentral:lncRNA from 1 species